rnacentral:rRNA from 1 species
UGGGGAAUAUUGGACAAUGGGCGAAAGCCUGAUCCAGCCAUGCCGCGUGUGUGAAGAAGGUCUUCGGAUUGUAAAGCACCUUAAGUUGGGAGGAAGGGCAGUUACCUAAUACGUGAGUAUUUUGACGUUACCGACAGAAUAAGCACCGGCUAACUCUGUGCCAGCAGCCGCGGUAAUACAGAGGGUGCAAGCGUUAAUCGGAAUUACUGGGCGUAAAGCGCGCGUAGGUGGUUUGUUAAGUUGGAUGUGAAAGCCCCGGGCUCAACCUGGGAACUGCGUCCAAGACUGGCAAGCUAGAGUAUGGUAGAGGGUGGUGGAAUUUCCUGUGUAGCGGUGAAAUGCGUAGACAUAGGAAGGAACACCAGUGGCGAAGGCGACCACCUGGACUGAUACUGACACUGAGGUGCGAAAGCGUGGGGAGCAAACA